CGGAGCCCUGCGCUCCGGCGGAGCCCGCGCCGCUGGAGUCGGCGGCGGCCGUGCUCGUGUCCGUGUGGCCCGCGGGCUUGGUGCCGGUGGCCUCCGA
rnacentral:tRNA from 1 species